rnacentral:rRNA from 1 species
AUUGAACGCUGGCGGCAUGCUUUACACAUGCAAGUCGAACGGUAACAGGCCGCAAGGUGCUGACGAGUGGCGAACGGGUGAGUAAUGCAUCGGAACGUGCCCAGUCGUGGGGGAUAACGCAGCGAGAGCUGCGCUAAUACCGCAUACGAUCUAUGGAUGAAAGCGGGGGACCGAAAGGCCUCGCGCGAUUGGAGCGGCCGAUGUCAGAUUAGGUAGUUGGUGGGGUAAAGGCCCACCAAGCCAACGAUCUGUAGCUGGUCUGAGAGGACGACCAGCCACACGGGGACUGAGACACGGCCCUGACUCCUACGGGAGGCAGCAGUGGGGAAUUUUGGACAAUGGGCGCAAGCCUGAUCCAGCAAUGCCGCGUGCAGGAAGAAGGCCUUCGGGUUGUAAACUGCUUUUGUACGGAACGAAACGGUCCGGGUUAAUACCCUGGGCUAAUGACGGUACCGUAAGAAUAAGCACCGGCUAACUACGUGCCAGCCGCCGCCGUAAAAC